rnacentral:rRNA from 1 species
UACGAAGGGGGCUAGCGUUGCUCGGAAUCACUGGGCGUAAAGCGCGCGUAGGCGGCCACUUAAGUCGGAUGUGAAAGCCCCUGGCUCAACUGGGAAGUGCACCCGAAACUGAGCGGCUUGAAUGCAAAGAGGGUCGCGGAAUUCCGGUGUAGAGGUGAAUUCGUAGAUAUCGGAGGAACACCAGCGGCGAAGGCGGCCACCUGGACGGAUACUGACGCUGAGACGCGAAGCG